AUUGAACGCUGGCGGCAGGCCUAACACAUGCAAGUCGAACGAGUGGCGGACGGGUGAAUAAUGUCUGGGAAACUGCCCGAUGGAGGGGGAUAACUACUGGAAACGGUAGCUAAUACCGCAUACCAUCGGAUGUGCCCAGAUGGGAUUAGCUAGUAGGUGGGGUAACGGCUCACCUAGGCGACGAUCCCUAGCUGGUCUGAGAGGAUGACCAGCCACACGUGAACUGAGACACGGUCCAGACUCCUACGGGAGGAAGCAGUGGGGAAUAUGCCACAAUGGGCGCAAGCCUGAGGCAGCCAUGCCGCGUGUAUGAAGAAGGCCUUCGGGUUUUAAAGUACUUUCAGCGAGGGGGCGUUACUCGCAGAAGAAGCAUCGGCUAACUCCGUGCCAGCAGCCGCGGUAAUAC
rnacentral:rRNA from 1 species